rnacentral:pre_miRNA from 1 species
ACUCUCAUAUUCAACUCGAUCCAUGUGUAUUGAGAUGGAUUGAAGUGUAAAUUAGUUUAAGUUAUGCUCCAAUCCACCUCAAUACACGUGGAUUGAGGUGAAUACGGGA